rnacentral:rRNA from 1 species
GCCGGGGAGGUGGAGCGUGAGCGCGUGCGAUAGGACCCGAAAGAUGGUGAACUAUGC